rnacentral:rRNA from 1 species
UAGAGUUUGAUCAUGGCUCAGGACGAACGCUGGCGGCGUGCCUAAUACAUGCAAGUAGAACGCUGAAGAGAGGAGCUUGCUCUUCUUGGAUGAGUUGCGAACGGGUGAGUAACGCGUAGGUAACCUGCCUUGUAGCGGGGGAUAACUAUUGGAAACGAUAGCUAAUACCGCAUAACAAUGGAUGACACAUGUCAUUUAUUUGAAAGGGGCAAUUGUUCCACUACAAGAUGGACCUGCGUUGUAUUAGCUAGUAGGUGAGGUAAUGGCUCACCUAGGCGACGAUACAUAGCCGACCUGAGAGGGUGAUCGGCCACACUAGGACUGAGACACGGCCCAGACUCCUACGGGAGGCAGCAGUAGGGAAUCUUCGGCAAUGGGGGCAACCCUGACCGAGCAACGCCGCGUGAGUGAAGAAGGUUUUCGGAUCGUAAAGCUCUGUUGUAAGUCAAGAACGGGUGUGAGAGUGGAAAGUUCACACUGUGACGGUAGCUUACCAGAAAGGGACGGCUAACUACGUGCCAGCAGCCGCGGUAAUACGUAGGUCCCGAGCGUUGUCCGGAUUUAUUGGGCGUAAAGCGAGCGCAGGCGGUUUGAUAAGUCUGAAGUUAAAGGCUGUGGCUCAACCAUAGUUCGCUUUGGAAACUGUCAAACUUGAGUGCAGAAGGGGAGAGUGGAAUUCCAUGUGCAGCGGUGAAAUGCGUAGAUAUAUGGAGGAACACCGGUGGCGAAAGCGGCUCUCUGGUCUGUAACUGACGCUGAGGCUCGAAAGCGUGGGGAGCGAACAGGAUUAGAUACCCUGGUAGUCCACGCCGUAAACGAUGAGUGCUAGGUGUUGGAUCCUUUCCCGGGAUUCAGUGCCGCGGCUAACGCAUUAAGCACUCCGCCUGGGGAGUACGACCGCAAGGUUGAAACUCAAAGGAAUUGAC